rnacentral:lncRNA from 1 species
GUGGAGUUGUUGAAGCAUAAAAAAAAAAAAGAAGAGAGAGGAAUAAAAGAGGAAAAAGAAAAAAAGGGGAGAGAAAGAAAUAAAAAAUAGAGAUGGUUUAUGAGAUUAUCCAUGCACCAGGUGCAUGGAUAAAAUUUAAAUUUUGAAAAUAUCUCAUGCACCGUGAGCAUAAAUUACGAAAAGUGGGACGUUCUUGUAGAUACGAACGGGUAUUAAAAAUAGCAUAUUAGACCUUUCCCUUUCACGUAUUUACAAAAUGCUCCGCUUUAAUCAUAUAAUAUUUUAUUAUAUUGACUAAGGUGUAAUAUGAGCAAAGGGAAAGGACCAAUUCGCAAUAUUCCCACAAUCCCAUCGCAACCAUCCAUUAUCUCAUAAUCCCAUCAUAACCAUCCAAAAUCUCUCCCACAAUCN